rnacentral:rRNA from 1 species
UUACCGGCUUGAAAGGACUGAAACUCUUCGGACCUAGGUGCUGCAUGGCUGUCGUCAGCUCGUGCCGUGAGGUGUUGGGUUAAGUCCCGCAACGAGCGCAACCCUUUCUUAGUUGCCAUCAGUUGGGACUCUAAGAUACUGCCUACGUAAUAGGAGGAAGGUGGGGACGACGUCAAGUCAUCAUGGCCCUUACGCCGGGCUACACACGUGCUACAAUGGGACACAAUGGGCAUAGUAAUAGAUGCAAUCCCAAAAUCAUCUCAGUUCGGAUUGAGGUCUGCAACUCGACCUCAUGAAGCUGGAUUCGCUAGUAAUCGCAAUCAGCAUGUGCGGUGAAUACGUUCCCGGGCCUUGUACACACCGCCCGUCAAGCCAUGGAAGAUGGAGACCGAA